CCUGCCUCAUCUUCUGGUGGAGGUUUUUGGCUUAGAGCCUGUGGCUGCUACACAGGAACUUAGCAUCAGCCCUGGGGCUGGAGGCCAAGAGAGAAGAGCGGGGACUCUCGGCCCUGGGUAGAAAUGCAACAGCUUUUGACGAGGGAAGGACGCUGGCACUUUCCACCCAUCCGAAGGACGGCCCAUUUGUAAUCACAGUGAAAGUGAAACAGGAAGACCAUCGUGGAGUGCUAGGGGGACAAGCACAUCUAAAUCCAUCAGCUGUUUACUGAGGAAGUUACACAUCUCUGCGGCUUCUUAGGCCAUGGCCAAGGACAUGAAGAUACAGAUAUCCAGGAACAGAGUCACACACGAAGGCAGGGACGUAGACUUGGGGCCCAGAGGUGAAUAAGACACCCUCAAUUGCAUGACAUCAAAGAUGGCAAAACUGAGGCCCAGCGAUGAGAGCUCACCCACCCAUUCCCAGGAAGCAGCAGAGCAAAUCCUGGAACCCAAGUAUGUCUUUCUGUUGUCCUGCUGGACUGCAGAGCAAAAAGAGGGAUUUUCUCCUUCUAUCCACCCAGCAGCCCUUGUUGGAGGUGCAGGGAUGGAUUCCAGGGCAGAGCGAGGGGGCAGGGAGUGUCAUCUGUGUGGUGCCAUAACAUUGCUGUGAAAUAAAAAAAACAUCUUUGCUACCUUCCAUCAACCUCAGAGGAGUAUUUUGGCAACACAUAUAGAUUUACAAUCAAUGGAAAUUAUAAAACUAAAAAGACGUGAGUGACCCAUUUUGUUAUCCAGAAUAGGGAACGUGGGAUAGGUCCCCUUGGGCUGGCCUGAUUUCAGAGCUCAUUAAAGGAAAGUGAGGCAA